UCCNGCAGUUUGGUCCAAUUGCUUGCCU
rnacentral:piRNA from 1 species